GCCCUGUUGGCACAACGACUAAGUGCUUGGCUGGUAACCAAAAGGUCGGUGGUUUGAACCCACCAUCUGGUC
rnacentral:tRNA from 1 species